rnacentral:snRNA from 1 species
UGUUCGAGAUAUAGUUGCAAG